rnacentral:rRNA from 1 species
UACGGGGGGGUAAGCGUUGUUCGGAAUUACUGGGCGUAAAGGGCUCGUAGGCGGCCAACUAAGUCAGACGUGAAAUCCCUCGACGUCUAACCUGGGGAACUGCGUCUGAUACUGGAUGGCUUGGAUUGGGAGAGGAUGCGGAAUUCCAGGUGUAGCGGUGAAAUGCGUAGAUAUCUGGAGGAACACCGGUGGCGAAGGCGGCAUCUGGACCAGACAGUGACGCUGAGAGACGAAAGCCAGGGGAGCAAACGGGAUUAGA